CCAGCCCGACUUCCUGCGCAGGCGCGCCUUCUCGUGAGGAGAGGGCGUGGUCUUCCGCUAGCUGGGGCGUUAGCGCUCAGCGCGGCGCGGAGUCCUGUUGCUGUUUCUUCGGUUCCGUGUGCCCAGUCUGGGUGAAAGCAACGCAACAAACCAGAUUCAUCGAUGUCAGCUACAAGCAGGAUCGGAGACAUCAAAUAUACCCCGUGUAUAUUUAGGAUCAAGUAUGUGCAGCCAAAGGGCUGUCAGUGUCCCAAAGUCAGGUACAAUACAGACUUAAUUGGAACUUCAGGUGAAGAGUUAAUUUAAAUGUUUGCGUGAAUAUGUCUGUGCAGGAUACUUUAGGAUUUUUUUUUUUUUUUAAUGAAAGGAAUUUUGUUGGGCUGGGGAUGUAGCUCAGCUGCUAGAGUGCUUGCCUAGCAUGCUCGGAGUUAACUUUCCAGUACCACGUUAAAAAAAACAACAAAAUAAAACAAAACACCCAACGUGGUGGCGCACGACUGUGAUUCCAGGGCACCAGGAAUAGAGGCAGGAUCAGAAAUUUUAGGUCAUCAUCUGCUGCAUAAGGAGUUCGAGGCCAGUCUGUGUUACAAAAGACACUAUCAAUAAAGUAUCUGACAUUCCAAUUUAAUUUUUAUUCGAUAACUUUGGCAACAUGUAUGGAGGACCCUACAUCCAGAGAAUAAGAACACAGCAGGGCUGGAUUCCAGCGUGGUUCUCUCCUGUAUGCACCAGCUCUCACAGAGGGAAGGCAACAAACAUUCUCCUCAGCAAGAAGCCACAGAUCUCUGGGUGGAGGCAAAGCUGACAUCCUCAGCUUUUCCUGACCCACUGGAGGACCAGGGAGAUUACCUGCCAGGGAAGGCAGUGAAGAAGGUGCCGCUAGAUGGAUGUGCAGAGAAGACAGGAGGCUCGCUGAUCUGAACAAAGACGAGCUCCAUCUGACACACACAGAAAGCCAGGAAGCCACUACUCAGUGAAGAGAGUGAGAGCUCAGGAUGCUGGAAAGCCCUGCAAAGUGAGCAGGCCAGGCAGUGGCCCUAACUGUGCAUGUCACGUUUGUGCAUUUAAGUGCACGACUAUACCCAGCAUUUAAUAGAUGCUGCUUCACGCUGUUGGAGAAAAAGAGGACAGUGUCUAUAAAACGACUCUCCUGCAGCAGGGGAGCUUACAACUUGCCGGGAAUCUUGAGGCCAUACCCCAAAUCCAAAAUACUGUAAAGCUGUCAAGGAUCAGCAGCAGCGGGACAAUUAUGUCUAAAGAUGAUGAGCCUCAGACAAGCACAGAGGAGAGAAAGAGGCAAUACAGCGAGGACAUCACGUAUGAUGGCAUGGAGAUGCGCAAUCACUACUAGCUGCAUCCAAAGCCUGAACUGAGCUGCCGUGCACGGCAGAGGUAGAAUGAAAACAAACCGUCUGCUUCGGUCACAGUAUACUUCUGAAAUAAGAGGUACAGUGCCCACAGAUGGGCUCAUGGGGGUGGGGGAAUGUGACAGGGUAGAGAGGAAUAAGCAAGGGGUAAGUGAGGGGUACUCAAGCAAUAGGAAGCAGUAAUUGCUAAUGAAAAUGGAUGGCAAAGGGAGACACGGGCUUAGCAGUGAAAUACACAGAAAAAUAAUACACCUAGCACCUUCCUGAACAUGUGAGAAUUGGCUGAGAAGCUUGAUGGAUGCCCUAGGAGCUUGAGCUUAAAAAUGGGAAGGUCUAGUUAGAGGUGUGGGACCGGAACUGAGGAAAUGAUACAAGGAUCAUUAGUUGGAGCUAGAGAGUCAAGAGAUCAUCCUAGUAUCAAAUUCCAAUUUAAAGUUUUAUUAGUUCUUACCCUGUUUCUAAUUCCUUCUAGUGGCUGAGUCCUCCACACCUCCACCAAUCUUGCCAAAUCCCAAAGAACUGGGAUUGUUAGUUAUGUUUCUCUGGCAUUUCUUGUAUUUUCUUUGUAUUUUAGUUUUGGUGAGUUGGGUCUCAACAUGAUGUCCAAGUAGUCUCAACCCCAUGAACUCAAAUAGUCCUCCUGCCUCAGCCUCCUGUGUGGUUUGAACUAUAAGUGUAUACUGAUGUGCCUGGCUUAUUUCUUAUGUUUUUGGUUUUUUUAAGAUUUAUUUUAAAUUGUGUAUGUGGACAUGAGCGUAGGGGUCCAAAGAGACCAGAAAGUAUGGGAUCCUCUGGAGUUGGAGUUAUGGGCAGUUGUGAGCUGCCAUGUGGUGCUAAAAACCUAGGUCUUCUGCAACAGCAGUAAGUACCCCAAUGAGGAUUCUGUCUCCAACCAUCCCCACUUCAAGAAUCAUUUAAAUUUCUUACGUU